CCUACGGGAGACAGCAGUGGGGGAUAUUGCACAAUGGGGGAAACCCUGAUGCAGCGACGCCGCGUGAGUGAAGAAGUAUUUCGGUAUGUAAAGCUCUAUCAGCAGGGAAGAAGAAAGACGGUACCUGACUAAGAAGCCCCUGCUAACUACGUGCCAGCAGCCGCGGGAAUACGUAGGGGGCAAGCGUUAUCCGGAUUUACUGGGUGUAAAGGGAGCGUAGGCGGCUGUGCAAGGCUGAUGUGAAAGCCCACGGCUCAACCCUGGGACUGCUUUUGAAACUGUGGAGCUAGAGUGCUGGAGAGGUAAGUGGAAUUCCUAGUGUAGCGGUGAAAUGCGUAGAUAUUAGGAGGAACACCAGUGGCGAAGGCGGCUUACUGGACAGUAACUGACGUUGAGGCUCGAAAGCGUGGGGAGCAAACAGGAUUAGAUACCCGAGUAGUC
rnacentral:rRNA from 1 species